ensembl:lncRNA
GCCCAAUCUCAAUACUUCCCCUUACCCCUUAUCUUCCCCCUUACCCCUUAAGAUGUUUUUGAAGUGGAGGUUAGAGAGAUUGAUCUUUAUUCAGUUAGCGAGACUCUGUAACAAAAAGAGAGAUGAAUUGGAAAAGACAACUGCUCUGAAAAAAAUUAGAGAGGAGGAGGAAGAGGAUAGCAAUCUGAACCAAAGGAACAAGAUGUUUUUGAAGUGGAGGUUAGAGAGAUUGAUCUUUAUUCAGUUAGCGAGACUCUGUAACAAAAAGAGAGAUGAAUUGGAAAAGACAACUGCUCUGAAAAAAAAAAAUUAGAGAGCAAAUCAAACUGCUUGCCGACGAAAUUCGUUUGUUCAAGGAUGAAGCGACUCGGAACAAAGAGCAGAGGAAGUUCACAGACCUACACACGACGCUAGUCGGAGAAGGACUGAUAGCGGCCCGCCCCCUCGACUCAGGGCCCUCUGAGGGGAGUGACCAAGGCAAAGGAGGAGGAACCUUGGGAGCCUAUGGUUGCAUGUACCCGAAACUGCCAUUGUGUGGCCCAGAUGGGGAAUACAUCUUCCCUGGUGGUUUACAGGAGUCGAGACACAGUGAUCCGGUCAUCUGCAGUACCCCCCACGUGCCACGGAAGGGAAAUCCAUCUGCCCCACCUGACUAUGCUAAUCAUGAUGCGAUCCAGAUCCCACAACAACCCCCCGAGGAGACACGGACACUUGUUGAGUCCUUGGGAGGAGUCCUUGAACUGAACUGUGUCUGUGUUUGUCCUGACGCCCUACUACGAACUUUCAUCCUCAUCCCCCAUCACACCUGCGGUGGCCAUCAACUGGAAAAUAACUUUGUUGCAACUGCUACUCAAAACCAACUGAGUCAUGCAGUAUUGUCUGUGAUGUUGUUGUGCCAAGCAGAGGGAGGUGUCUCGACAGUUGACUUUCUUGAUUCUUUAAAAAUGUUUUAAUCAUGAGUAACCUAAUGAGUUUGUUAUUUUCUUUAUUAUAGUGGCCUACACCUGGUUUACUUGUGUAUGAUUUGAAUUUACUUGUCCUAUUGCCUUUUAUGCUUUCUUUCAUUGAUUUAGUUAAUUAUUAAUGGGUCACCAGAAAAUACACUGAAUUCUCUUUUUGUGGGUGAUCUUUAAACUAUGUUUAGUAUGAUCAAGAGGGAGGAAUGUAGAAUGUUGGUGUAUUUUAGUGUCUCUCUGUUGUUCACAUUUCUAGUCUAGGAACAGGCCAGGGCCUCUCAUACUGAUACAAGGUGUUAUCCUUAACAUUCUGCCAUUGUUAUGUCUCAACAAGGUUGAACCGACCUGGUCCUCCGGGACAUAGCCAGGGCCAAAUACCUUAUCAAGGCUGAGAGUGCGUCUGUUCACGUGUUAUUCAUGUUUCCCCUUUUUGUAUAAUACUCGCCCCAACCCUUUGGUUUGAGGAGAAGAGGGUUUCGACAGCCAAGGAACAAGUCAUCGACCACCAGGUCCACUAUAGAUUAUUCAACCUAAGUCUGUAUCUCGCUGUACAUCCUGGAAUAAACCAUCUAUUCAACCCUCUAAUCCAACCUGUCAAGCUGCUUUGAUUUCGACUUCAAGAAUUACUACUACGACUGAAAAUACACAACGCAGAGUCUGUCCGAACAGUUUAGAAAUAAGCUGAAAUCUAACACCCUUGAAGUUGCGCGUUCAUGUGAGAGCUAGUGGUGUCUCAAUACCCAAUUUGAUCAAGAUUAAGGGAUAAGAUUGAGUGCUAUGUACCCCUUAUUUUUAAGAUGAUUUGAGAGCUCACUUGGGCCGAAUCUCGAUUCUUCCCCUUGCCCCUUUUGCUUUGUCUUUGUCUUUGUCUUGGU